rnacentral:tRNA from 1 species
AAUUAUUAAAAAAUUAAGCUGCUAACUUAAGGUGAACAAUUAUUUUUGUUAAUAAUUU